AUUGUCACCAUGUAACCUUCUUGCCUGUUAUCUGUUUACUCUGGGGAUGACUCAUGACUAGUCACUAGCCCAGUAACUUUGUAACCUUUCCCCCGGAGAAUGUGUCUGGAUGUCACAGAUCUGUGCCACCUUCAGCUUUCUCUUUUCAGGGCUCAACUUGCUUCCAACAAUAUCACUAGUUUUUAUGAGUGUUAUGUGAAGCCGCAAUUAGACAACAUCUCCUCAUCUGCCCUAGCAUGCAGGAUGGGGUUCUGUCUUCUGCGUGGAGCAUGAUGGGUGAGAGGAAGCAGAGGCUGGAGAGAUGGAGGACCCACAGUUUGAAAGGAGAUGAACCCCACAGGACGCUUCCACAGAGUGAUGCUGGCCAGCCCACCUUGGACCACAGGAAGCUCCCUAAGAAAAAGGUUGGGUGAAUUGAGCAGAGAAACAGUUGUCUCAGCAGGGAAGAGCUCUCCUUCAGUUCUCCAUGAUCCAGAGAAUGAGGAUCUGUAUGAGGGGCUUUGAGAGAGAAAGAGCCCGUGAGGAUGAAGGCAUCUGCUAUAGUUAACACUGACUGGGAGCCUGGGAGAUAGCUCAGUCAGUAUGGCCAUGAAGACAUGAAUUCCUUAUAACCCAGAAGAAAAUGCCAGGUGCAUGCUUAGAAUCCCACCGCCGGGGAGGAGGAAACUGAAGAUCCCUGGGAUAGCUGGCUGGUCAGCCUAGCUUCCUCAGUGAGCCCCAGGCUCAAUGCUUCCUGUGGCAAGCUCCCAGGGGCCCCACCUCAAGGGUGCCUCUUCCCCAUGACCACCUGUGACCUUCAAAAUGACAGCUGCCAAGGAUGCUGAAGAUGGUCAGCCUGGCUCAUCACCAACUCUGGAACUCAGCAGCUGCAUCAAUGUGGAUGGGGAAAAAAAAGUCUCGGUUACAUUGAUCUUUGCCAGUGUCUCCUUCAGCAACAUACAUCGCCACAACCACAUCUCCAGUGGUCUCUGGGAACAUCAUCACUAUUUUCAGAUCUGUGACAGUUGUGUCAGGUGGUUGAAAAUGUCAUUAAACCCAUUACUGCUUCAAAAUUACAGUCAUUAUUGAAACCUG
rnacentral:lncRNA from 1 species